GUGGUUUAAUCAUUUUUUGAGAUCUUGCUACUAGAUUUUAAAAAUCUGUUGCUAGAAGCCAAGAUAAUUUGCUCAUAUAAUUGUUUUUGAAACAGAUCCUAUGCAAGAUAUUUUGCACUGGUAAAGCUGAGCUGCGCAUCUGCUGACUUGUGGCCAGACACCAAGAAGGACCCCAGCUGAUUAGCAAAGUUGUACCCUUGCCAGGGAUUGGAUCUGAGGCACAUGUGGCUGUCCUCAUGACUCAGAGGAGGCAGGGACUAAAAUCUUGUGGGCUGAAGAAGCCUGGCUGGAUGCCGGCUCCUCAUGUUGCUGAGAUAAGCAGUUCUCCUGCCAGCAGUAUUUGCCCCCCAGUCCCGGGGGAAUGGGCCCCAGUUUCCUCUCCAGGGCCCUCUCCUCCCAACACCAGUGAUGAACAAUCGCAACUCUUCCCCGGAGAAAGCACCGUUGGUCCUGCAUGUUUGUCUGCAACCUUAACGUGGGGGCCCACCGUCUCUCCUCACUUAGUGUAAGUCCUGGACAAGGUUGAUAAAGUUCUUGAAGAAGGCCUAGGAAACUCACCUAGAUCCGUUUCAGCUUGUGAUAUUACAUGUUCUUGGAUAUUUGAAGCCGGCAAAGAGCAGGGGGAAAAAAAGGAUUUCAAUCAGAAUUACCAUAAAAUUAGAAACAGUUUUCAGCAAGCAUGGCUACAGUCUGCUUGAAGCUGAUGGCUGGUAGAGACCUGUGAUUAUUAACGAUAUGGUUCCUAUCUUUUUUUAAUUAUAACUCAGCUAGCAACGACCGUGUCGGCGGCAGGCGAUUAGAAAUAAAUGCCUAACUUGGAUUUUGCACUAUUGAGUCCUGCUCCAAAGCACAGCGCUUGCCCACUGACCCAGCUCGAGUUUCACAGGGACAGCAAAGAGGUACAGUUUGGGCAAUCGCAGUCCUUCCAGGGCUGCACUAGGAAUUUACUGGUUUGCAGGUAGCUCCUGAUUAGAAGGCUGCCAGCUGUCUUGCUUGCCCAUUCUAUUCCGGGAACACCACAAAAGCACAUCUACUUUCUUUAAUUUUUUUUCCUGGGGCAUUUUCUUCUUUUAUUCCUUGUGUUCCCUCCUCUUUCUCUUUCUCUUGUUUUUACAAUCUCCCUGUAAUGACUAAUUGGCAGUGUUUCCCAACUUUUUAAUGUUUCUCUUGCUCUGGUUACAAGUCGUACUAACCCAGUAAUAUCCACGGGGACCUAUAGACAGCCAAGAUUUCCAAAUGAUAUACAGCAUUCCCCUUUCUUUUAAAGUGUAAAACAUUUACAAGGAAACGUACAAACGCAUCAGGAACAUUUCCCGGGUCGGUCAUUACGCUCGCCCCCGCGCCCAGGGAGCGCCGCCCGGCCUGCUCCCGCGCGUCUCCCAGUGCCAGGGGGCGGCGCGAGACCGCAAUGCUCUGGCCCGGGUUGACGAGCCUCCGAUGCCCGUUUACUGCGCGCGGCAGCCACUCUGGAGCCGCGGCACAUCUGGAUGGAGUCAGCGCGAGCGCCAGGGGCCAGCGGCCGAGCCAGCGGAGCACGGCGGCGAGCGAGGGAGGGAGGCCGGCGCCCGAGCCGCCCCCGCCGCCCGCCGGGCUGGAUUUCCUGAUGUAAACAGAGCGGCCCUGCAAGAACACAGCAACUCAGCUGAAUGUGUCGUUUAGUGUUCUUUAUCUGCUGGGGGUCAAAAUAUCGACUUAGAAAAACAGAAGCGUUGCUUUGAAUUUAAACAGCUAAAAGCCAUAGACUUUACUGGUCUGUGUGCGGGGAGGAGAAACGCCUGAAAACUUAGCUCCUGCUUUUGUGUUUACUUGUUCCACUUUAUAGUAAUUUGGGGGCUAAUUUCAUUAUCUACAGCCAAAUUGGAAACAAGAUGCUGUUUCUGUUAAUGGUGCCAAAGGCAUGUGUGAGUUUGUGUGCUGUAGGUUGAAAGUUCCAACCGACCCCCAGAGCCCAGUGCCCCUGGCCCCCAUGGGCCUGCAAAGCGUUGAGACUCUGAUUUUCCCAGAGGGAUGUCGGCUACGCUGUUUCUCAGAGAAGCAUACUGCUUUUUGUCACUGAGUGCCAGCCAAGAUGUAUUUCCUUCCUGGAUUCCCAGAAAGACUCAGCGCUUGGGGGCUAAAAGGACAGGUUUCCUAUUCUUCACGGUGGGAUGUGCUUCCUUUCCCGUUUUUCAAGGUAUGGGAACUAUUCUUCUUAUACAGUUGUCUGCUCUAGUGUGUCUGGCUGGGGCUAUCUUUCCCCACUUAACUGUCCUGGUUCACAUCUCUCCCUUUCUCUCAGGGAAUGAGAUCUUAAGGAUUUGAGGUUUUGAACAUUCAUUGAGGAGAAAUCAGCCAACUAUAAACUGUGACGAAGUCAUUUUGAAAUAGUUGGUGGAGAGGGAAAAUAUAAAAUGAUGGCAGAGCUUGUGUUGUCAUCACCAAUAAUUAAAAUGAAAUGUAAAUGUGUUUCCAGUUCAGUCACAAGCCAUUUGAACUGUAGCAUUUACAAAAUUUCAACUGGCUGGAGUCAUCCUCAGAUACUGGCAGAGCCUCCCUAACCCUCAGAUAGGGACUAAUUUUGUAAAAGUCUUUAACAGGAAAUCAGAAGGAGCCACGUGUGCCUAUCUGAGGACAGAAUUUGGCCAAUAUGCAGGGUAUUAGCAGGCUUGGGAGAAGCUUGGGGCUGUCAGUGUAAGAUUUCAGUAGUGUAGCUUCAUGUGGAGGUUUGUCAAAAUGUUUGAAGCCAUCUGACCCAAACAGUGGUUGGAUAUGAGGAGCACUUAUAUGUUAAAAGAACUUUGAAUAUGUCACUGUAUGUUGUAUAGGUUAAUAGGACAUUCUUUUUCCUCCCCCGACUGUAUUUUGAUGAAUUUGCCAGAAGCUGGGCCAAGAUUUAUGGAAAGAACCAAGGUCCAGUUCAGCAAGUUGGCAAGUUACCAGCUUUGCAAACCAUAGUUAAAAUGAAGUUUGUUUAGAACAAUCCCCUGUACUUCUAAAGGAAGACUUUGAGAAUGAGAGAAUCUGCAGCUUUUUCAUCUGGAAGUCAGCUAGUAUUCAACCGUUUGAUGAAUGAAAGAGUGAUGACUGUUGGUUUUCCUCUUCUAUGUCUGUGGAAUGGACCUGCAGGGAGAAGUAGCUCUGGAGUAUUCUCUCUUUCCAAAAAUACUAGGCUUUACAACCAUAGGAGGCACUGGCUUUUGGUUUUAUGGGAAGAGCAGACACCUCUUGAAUGACAAAGACAUUUCUCAUUUUUGACAGUCCAAUUCAAUUUUUGUUUGACAACUUAAUAUGCUUGAAAGCAAAGCUUUUCAGAGAGAGAGAGAGAGAGAACAUAUUUUCUAAAUCUAUCAAGGAUAGAUAGUUCAGAGCUAGCGUACUGUCCACAGCAUAAAGAACAUCAUGGUGUUGCUGUUCCAAGGAAAGAGAGAGAUUCGAUCAAGAGGUAAGAAAGCCUGAAGCUCCACCUCUUAUUGGCAUUGAGGGUUUAUGGGAAGAAGGGAGAGAGGUUAAAGGGUCACACAUGAUGGCUCUUUCUAAGAGCUUGGGGCCUCCCUCAAGGUAAUUAGAGACAUUCAGAUUAGUGCAGGGAACCUGAAGAACAUGGGUGCUAGAGGCACGCUCCCUUCUCAUGAUAGGAGGGCUACAGCUGGUAGGAGAACUGGUGCAGCCACCUCAGUGUCUACAGGGACAUGGGAUGCUGCAAACACCCUCUACUCUGCCUUGUUGAAAACUUGAGAAAGAGGAGUGGGCAAAAUCAGAAAGACUGCACCUUCCACUAGUGAGCCUGAGCCAUCCAAAUGGGCACAUUUUAGAUAGCCCUGAGGGACACUUAGGUCAGCUGAGGUGAGAUUGUGAGGAAGUCUGAGCCUCGCAAUUACUCCGUCCAUACGUUUGCCUAUUCACUGUUUUGUCCUUAGCACCUACCUCUUUGCAGCAGAGUGAGUAAUAUGGUCUCUGGACUCUGCAGGGCAGAACAUGUGCCCCAGCCCUUAGCACAGCUCCUAGCAUACAGCAACUGCUUAACUAACGAUGGCAACUUCUACUACUCAUGUAGAAAUGCUUAAUCAUCUUUGUUGAAAUGAGAAUGUCCCUAUCUAGUCCAGAAAUUCUCUUAAUCUGGUUACCUAUUCAGGAUUGCCCAGAAAUACUGGAUUGCACAGCAGACUCAAAGCAUCCUUGCUUACUGGGUAUAUGCAUGCGUAUAUAUUCCUAUUCUAUUCUUCCUAUCUCUCUUUUAUCAGGCCAAUAAUUCUUUAAAUUUUUAGUGUUUGAACUUCUGGAGUUUGGUGGGGUGGCUACUGUGCUACUUCUGUUUUUGCUAUUCAACUUUUGCUUCUAAACUAUACAAAUUUUUCCAGUGUACCCUCUCCUGCUGCUCUCACUUUGCUCUUCUUUUCUCUUUCAAGUCCUGGGUUUUUCGUUUGUUUGUUUGCUUUUACCUUCCCCUCCUUGCUCCCUACAAAGCCACCCCAAGUAAUGAUCAGGGCCAUUCCUUAUUUCAGGGCUUCUACUCAGAGUCACAUCUCAUCUCACAUGCAAUGGUCUUGCCACAGUCAUUCUGGGAGAUGGAUCACGAAAAAUGGCUCCAUUAUCCAUCCCUUCCUGCAAAGAUAUCUACACCAUUUGCAAUGUGAUUUUGUUGUUUUCCCAUUAAGAGGCUGCUGUAUUUCCCCACUCAUUGAGUCUGGUCUGUCUAGUGAUUUGCUUUGGCCAGUAGAAUGUGGUAGAAUGUUCCAGUUCCAAGUCUAGCCCUCAAGGGAUCUUUCAUGCAUCCUCUCUUUAUCUUGGAACCCUGCCACUGCUAUGAGAAAAAGUCCAGACUGACCCAUUGGAAUGAGAGGCUAUGUGGAGCUGAGUGAGCCAUCCUUGCCCAGUUGACCCUCAGCUGACCUGCACUAAUAACAGAAUCAUGAGUGAGCCCAGAUUAAAUCAGCUCAGCCAUGCCCCUCUCAGCAGAGUUUCCUGGCCAAUCCAUAGUCUCCAUGAGAAAAAAUGAAUCAUUGCUGUUUUAAACCAUGAAGUUUUUGGGUGUUUUGUUAAGCAGCAAUAACUAACUGAUCUAGUCAAUAACCAUCUUUUGUUGCUAAAUCUAAAGGAUCUUUUUUUCAGUUCUUGUAGCAGAGAUUUAUAAAGGCUAACCAAAAUCUAUGUCCUUUUUCAUCACAAACACACAGCUAGACUAUAUUUUCUCACCUCUGUGUGACCAUGUGAUUGAGUUCUGGCUAAUGGAAUAUGUGCAGAAGUGAUGUGCAUCACUUUCAAGUCUGGCUCGUAAAUAGCUCCCUCUUGUAAUCCUUUUCCCAUCAUGUGGCAGAAUGGAGAGAACGUGAGGAGGUCAGAACUGGGGUAUGGAAGAGCAUGGGUUCCUGAAUGACUGUUUGGGAGACUGCUACUCACAAGGAGAAUCUACAGUGGACUUUGUGUGAGUGAGAAACUAACUUUUGCUGUGUCAAGUUACUGAAAUUGUGGGGUUCGUGAUAGCAGCUGGAGCUGUUUGCCUUCUUCACUACUCUCCUCUUACUUGACCUCUCUGUGGCCUUGGGCAGUGCUGACCCCUCUCUCCUGUAUGACAUCCUCUUCCCUUGCUGUCCUUGAUCCUAUACUCUGUAGUUUUCCCACACAUGUAUCAAUAGUUCCCCAUGACUUCCAAGAAGUUCAAGUCCAGAAUUCUUGGCAUGCCUUUGCUAAAGUCUUUGUUUAACUCUUCAUUCUUCUCCCUCACCACCAUAGCUUCAAACUCCAUGCAUUUACAUAAACACAUCAUGCUCUCAUUUACUCUGAGGUUUUACAUUUGUUAUUCCCUCUGCUGAAAAGCUCUGCCCACUUUUUGCCCUGCUAAUUUUGCCACCACUUCAGAUCUGAUGUAUCACCAGUUCCAAGAACCCCAGACCCUAAGUUUUGGGGAAGAGCCUCCCAUGGGCUCUAAGGGAAGUUGUGUUUGCCUCAAUCAUAGGACUUGCUGUUGUAGCACUGCUCCAUCUCUUUACCAGCUGACUCCAAAGUCUGAUGUUCCAGCCUACUGUGCUCACUCCUGAAUCCCAAAUGCAUAGUCGAGUGCCUGUCACUUAGUCAUGCUAAUAACCAUUUGGUGAGUGCAUAAGUGAAUAAGUUUGUAGGACUGGGGAAACAAGAGUGCCUGAAAUCUAGGAAUUAGACUCCAGGUUUGAUAACAGGUAAUGCAUGAGGAAGUCAACCAGAAAAAUGAUGUUACUUAAUCUUCCUUGGAGAUUAUCUGUACUUGGUCCCUCUGAAAAUUACUAGACUGUUUAUGAGGAAGGGUAUAGAACAGCCUUCUUUCAAAUGGUGUUUCCUUCUAUUAUCAUUGGUGGUGAAAAUGGGAUUUAUUUCACAUAUUACAAUGCAGAAUUUGGUGUUGUUUAUAUGUGAACAUAACUACUCUGUAAAACCUCAAGCAUUUUUCUCUAUUAGAAUUGGCAGAUGAGAGAUUAUAUAAACUUGUGGCCAACUGAGAGGUUCCCAAAACAUUGCUCUUGAAUUAGAGGGAACAGAGGGCAUGCCCUGGGUGUCCGAAUCCCUUCUUCGGGCUGAUGCAGACUUAUGUUUGCAUCUGUUCUUUAUUACGGUGCUGCUCUGCUCUUUAACCACAAGGAGAACUCGGACACUGGAAGGUUAGGUGUGCUGCCCAAGGCCCCAUGGCAACUUGGAUUUGAGAUCAUAUCUGAAAGCAGAUGUAAGUAUCACUCCCUAGGAGCCCACAUGGACUCCUUGUGCUCCUGGACAUGGAAACAAAUCAUGAAGAGCCUCUGUCAAUGCAUCAUGAUAAAUCAGGUGAAGAUGAUGAUGUAUCCCGUGAGGUUGCCUGUGGAGGAGGAUUUCUGGGACACUGUUGGCAAGUGGUCACCGCUGGACUCCACAGAGGGGAGGACUAUCCCGGCACAUACUUUUGUUGCCACGCUAGUGGUGUGUGAGCCUGUCCCACAUGUGCUCUGCCAGCCCUGAUUUCUGAACCCAUGAGGAGUGUACAGGGGACCAAGGGAAGGGUCCAGGUGUCCUGCUUUUAUCUUUCCAUGGCUCAUGAUAAUGAGAGCAGCUAAGAUGACUGAGUGCUUCAUAUGUUUCCAGCUCUUCACCUCAUUUAAUUCUCCAAUGGCACCACUAUGGGACUGCUAUAGGUUACUCUCAGCUCUCAGGCAAGAAAACUGAGGCACAGAGGGCUCCUGGACUGGCCCCCAAAGCACAUGCCCUCCCACUCCUUUCAGGGCACUCUGUGCACUUAACCAGGGGUUGAUCCCCAAGGAGAGGCUGUGCCUAGGGCUCCUUCCCUCAGGGCUCCAGGAGUCCUGUCUACAGAAAUCUUCCUCUUUAAUUUUCCUUUCCUGGGCCCUGUCUCCCACUCUCUGACUAUUUAAGCUUACUUUAGAAGAACUAUUUCUUAUACCCUGAAAUGAGGGCAUGUAAAUUUGAAUAUGCAUGGAAGAAUGGUGAAAUGAAUAUAUUUAGAGUAAACAAAGCAUCCUCAUAAUCUCAAAACAUGUGUGCUUGUAUUUGUAGAUUGUCUUACACACCUAAAUUCUUUGCCAUGUAUUUUUGUGUUAAUUUGAAUGUGUUGCUCACAGGCAGCAAAGGCUGACUGAAGUGGGAUGUAAGCAGGAAAAGACUCCCCUCCAAAUGACAUCCAUCUCAUUAUGGUGAGUGCGUGACCCUCUCAUGACUCCAUCCUUCCACACACUGCUGUGCAGUACUCACCCCCACGCAUCCUGUUUAGAAUCAGCUUAGAUCCUGCAGAAUUUUCCUUCUAUUUUUCAGCAACAAAAUAUGAGGCAAAGGCCAAGAACUGCCGAUCUGUCUACAAUGUUUGAAAGAGCCCCGGAGCUGCUAUUUUGUAGAGCAGAGAGGAAGUGCUGCCUGGCCCUUUGGAGCUCCCUGCAGCCUCUGGGCUGUUAGUCAGCAGCCUCCUCCCACCCCACGAAGCCUACCUCCUGGCCUGUGUCUGGCAUAGGUUCCCUGAGGCUCUUUCCAUCUGCGUUGUCCGUUCUGCAUUCUGUCUCCAUGUGAUAUGUGAUACAAAGCAUCCUUUUCUUCUCUGACUAUGACAUUCAAAGGAGAUGGUCUUCAUUGUUUCUCAGACCUGUCACCACUGGAUCAUGUCACUGACAGUAACACAAGAUGGAUGCUUUCCUUAGAGGAGACAAUGCAUUUCUAAAGUGGUGCUCGAUAAAGAAGGAAGUUGUUCUCAGAAUCUUACCAGAGCAUAUUUCAUUUUGAGUUUUUAGGCAGCAUGUCUCAAAUGUACCUCCAUGCCUUCAGGCAACUUGAAAGUUGAGGUUGGUCAAAUUUUGGAAUGAAUAAGACAGUAUCUUCAUGGAGUGUUAAAUCCAUAGCAGUGAUGUCAUUGUUUGAAUAAUCAUCUCUAAAUAAUCAAAUAUAUUAUAUUUGGCUUUUGUCUGUUAUUAAUGAAAUUGUUCUUGAUUUCAAAGAAUUGGACAGGGUUGCCUUGAGUGACAUUUAGUGUUUGAAUGUUAAUGGGAUAUUAAUUACCCACAUGAAGUAAGGCAUUUGUUUCUGGAGAAAACAUGGCGUGCACUUCUUGACUGGGUCCCCUGUUUAUCUGUUCAGCGUCCUCCUGACACAUUCCCAUAUGUUCCCUUUCUCCAUAUCAAACCCAGGCCUUCCCUGAAAAGCCCAUGGUCUCUAUUCUCAGUGCUUUUUCCCAGACCUUGCUGAUCUUUCUGCCUGGAUAUUCUUCUUCACUGCUUGGCCACAUUCUACUUCUUGAAGGUUCAGCUUCAAACUUUUGGAGAUUCUUUUAUUCAUUCAUUUGCUUAUUCACUAAAUCAUUUAACAUUUACUGAAUAUUUAUAAUGUGCUACACAUUUUUUUAGGUAUUGAGGAUACAAAAGACAUAAUCCUAAAUACCUUCAAGUGCCUUCUAGACAGACACAGGACUGGAGUUUGCAUACAACUAUGCUGUUGUGCAGUAGGGUUUAUGCAGGUAUUCCAGGAGUGCUGAAGAGAGAUGUCAAACCACCUGGGGAGGCAAGGAAGGGUCAUUUCCUCUGGUACAGGCCUGGCCAUCAUUAAUUCAGUUAGAGUGUCCUCUCCAUAUGCAUGCCCAGUGUGGCACUUAGCACACAUACUGUGUUGCUUUCUACCCCCAUUCACCAAAUCUACCCCCUCCUGCCAGCACAGUGUGGCAUAUAGCAGGCAUCCUGUGUCCACCUAUGUUUUGGUUCUUUUAACUGGCAUUUAGUUUGAUUUCUUUUCAGACUUUGGUUAAUAUUCUAACUACUUUAGAAAAAUAUUUGAGGUGGUUUUCAGUAAAAAUACACAGGACCAUUAAAAAUAAAAUUAGAAAGAGGGAUCAACUAGAGGAAGGCAGGGGAGUGAUGCCACGGAGAGUUUGUUUACAGGUGUGUGGGUUGCUCUGAGCCGCCUGGCAGUCAGACUGCUCUGUCAUACCCUUGCCGUGGUCUCUGAAAUUGGGUAGCUUAUUUUAAUGUUAGUUGAUGCAUUAGUAAAAAAAACAAAUUUAUCAACUGAAGCAGAAUAUGGGCUGAUAAAAUUUUCAAACACUAGGUCUUCUAUAGUUUGUAGAAAAUUGGGCAUCACAUGCUUUGAAUUCUAGAGUCCACUGUUCACGGCCUACAAGCCCUCACUAAGCCCUGAAAUCAAGGUAUUCUAUCUUCUGUGUGAAGAAUCCAAGAAAGCUGUUGGUUGGUGGUUUUUAAUUUCCAUCGAGUCUCUUCUCCUUCCAUUUCUGAGCCCUAUUCUCAGCUGCACUACUUCUUCCUAUGCAAAACACGGGAAGGUUCCUUGAUCUUUAGUAGUUGAGUGUGUAAAUUGAUAUAUACCUUAAAUUGGUCUCAUUAGGUACAUUAGAUGAUGCUCAGCAAAUGACUGGAAGAAAAUGUGUUCUCACUAGCUCUUAGAAGCUCAGGUUGUGGUCCCGAUCUGCUCACUUCCUGUUGAUGGUUCUUCUGGAACAAAGUGACUAGAGGGGAGGGACCUUGCCCUGCAUGGGGGAGGAAGAUGAGUCAGCCAGCCCACAUCUGGUAGGUGGCCCUUGUGUGGCACUGGGAUCUGAACUCCACCCCCACUGCCACUGCUCACAGUGUGCCCUGUGAUUGGCUUCACUGUGUUCUUUUACAGACCUACCCUUAAGGUUCCUUCAGUGAAGACCAACUGGGAUUCUAUUUUAGCUGACAUAGAACCUCACAGUCUGUACCGUAGAUGAGUAAAAGGUAAAAGUCCCAUAUUUAAUGAUACCGUAAGUAUGUUAAAUUCCUCUGCAAAGUUUUGUAUCCAUCAGUUGUUUUGAAUGAGGUCCACUUAAUGUUGUUCCAUUUCAGUGAUGUCUUAAUUUUUAUGUUAUUUCACUAAUUGUGUAUCACUGUGGAAUCUUUAAUAGCAUUGAUUAAAUCCUGGCAUUAUUCCUAAGAGUAUUCCAUAAAAUACAUAUUUGUUUAACGUUUUCAUAGAUAAUACAUUCACAGAGUUUCAACUUCAAAAGGUACGAAAGGUUAAACAAUAAAAUAUCCUUCUUCCACUCUCCUCUGACACCCAUUUCUUUCCUUUGAUGCAGUCAGUUUCAUAUGUUUUUAAAUAUCUUUUCAGAAAUAAGUUAUGCAUCUGUAAAGCAAAUUCUCUUUUUACAGAAAUGGUAAAAGCACUAUGCACACUGUUCUACUCCUUGUUUCUUUCAUGUAACAAUAUGUUUUGGAGUGCAUUCUCUAUUUGUACAUAAAACCUUCUUCAAUCUUA